UACGAAGGUGCAAGCGUUAAUCGGAAUUACUGGGCGUAAAGCGCGCGUAGGUGGUUCGUUAAGUUAGGAGUGAAAGCCCCGGGCUCAACCUGGGAAUUGCUUCUAAAACUGGCGAGCUAGAGUAUGGUAGAGGGUGGUGGAAUUUCCUGUGUAGCGGUGAAAUGCGUAGAUAUAGGAAGGAACAUCAGUGGCGAAGGCGACCACCUGGACUGAUACUGACACUGAGGUGCGAAAGCGUGGGGAGCAAACAGGAUUAGAUACCCCUGUAGUCCCU
rnacentral:rRNA from 1 species